rnacentral:rRNA from 1 species
CAGCCGCCGCGGGAAUACCGUGGGUGCGAGCGUUAAUCGGAUUUACUGGGCGUAAAGCGUGCGUAGGCGGCUAAUUGAGUCGGAUGUGAAAUCCCCGAGCUUAACUUGGGAAUUGCAUUCGAUACUGGUUAGCUAGAGUGUGGGAGAGGAUGGUAGAAUUCCAGGUGUAGCGGUGAAAUGCGUAGAGAUCUGGAGGAAUACCGAUGGCGAAGGCAGCCAUCUGGCCUAACACUGACGCUGAGGUACGAAAGCAUGUGGAGCAAACAGGAUUAGAUACCCGUGUAGUCCCUGUCUCUUAUAC